rnacentral:rRNA from 1 species
GCGCACCAGGCGAGAAACCUCCGCAAUACACGAAAGUGUGACGGGGCCAUCCCGAGUGCCGUCCGCUGAGGACGGCUUUUCCCCAGUGUACACAGCUGGGGGAAUAAGGAGAGGGCAAGCCUGGUGUCAGCCGCCGCGGUAAUACCAGCUCUCCGAGUGGUGGGGACGCUUAUUGGGCCUAAAGCAUCCGUAGCCGGCUGGGCAAGUCCUCCGUUAAAUCCAACGAUUCAAUCGUUGGGCUGCGGGGGAUACUGUCCAGCUUGGGGGCGGGAGAGGCCGACGGUAUUCCCGGGGUAGGGGUGAAAUCCUAUAAUCCCGGGAGGACCACCAGUGGCGAAGGCUGUCGGCUAGAACGCGCCCCGACGGUGAGGGAUGAAAGCUGGGGGAGCGAACCGGAUUAGAUA